CAGUCGCCGCGGUAAUACGAAGGGGGCUAGCGUUGUUCGGAAUUACUGGGCGUAAAGGGCGCGUAGGCGGCCAUUCAAGUUAGAUGUGAAAGCCCUGGGCUCAACCUAGGAGUUGCAUUUGAUACUGUUUGGCUUGAGUUCGGGAGAGGUGAGUGGAAUUCCCAGUGUAGAGGUGAAAUUCGUAGAUAUUGGGAAGAACACCAGUGGCGAAGGCGGCUCACUGGACCGACACUGACGCUGAGGCGCGAAAGCGUGGGGAGCAAACAGGAUUAGAGACCCGCGUAGUCCCUGUCUCUUAUAC
rnacentral:rRNA from 1 species